UACAGAGGGGGCAAGCGUUGUUCGGAAUUACUGGGCGUAAAGGGCGCGUAGGCGGCCUGCUAAGUCGAACGUGAAAUCCCCGGGCUCAACCCGGGAACUGCGUCCGAUACUGGUGGGCUUGAAUCCGGGAGAGGGAUGUGGAAUUCCAGGUGUAGCGGUGAAAUGCGUAGAUAUCAGGAGGAACACCGGUGGUGUAGACGGCUUACUGGACCACGACUGACACUGAGGCACGAAAGCGUGGGUAGCAAACAGG
rnacentral:rRNA from 1 species